UACGUAGGGGGCUAGCGUUGUCCGGAUUUAUUGGGCGUAAAGAGCGUGUAGGCGGCCAGGUAGGUCUGCUGUGAAAACUCGAGGCUCAACCUCGAGACGUCGGCGGAAACCAUCUGGCUAGAGUCCGGAAGAGGAGAGUGGAAUUCCAGGUGUAGCGGUGAAAUGCGUAGAUAUCUGGAGGAACACCGGUGGCGAAGGCGGCAUCCUGGACCGGUAUUGACGCUGAGGCGCGAAAGCCAGGGGAGCAAACGGG
rnacentral:rRNA from 1 species